CCUACGGGGGUCUGCAGUGAGGAAUAUUGGUCAAUGGGCGCGAGCCUGAACCAGCCAAGUCGCGUGAGGGAGGACGGCCCUACGGGUUGUAAACCUCUUUUGCCGGGGAGCAACGGGCGCCACGUGUGUCGUCACUGAGAGUACCCGGAGAAAAAGCAUCGGCUAACUCCGUGCCAGCAGCCGCGGUAAUACGGAGGAUGCGAGCGUUAUCCGGCUUUAUUGGGUUUAAAGGGUGCGUAGGCGGAUCGUUAAGUCAGUGGUCAAAUUGAGGGGCUCAACCCCUUCCCGCCAUUGAAACUGGCGUUCUUGAGUGGAAGAGAGGUAUGUGGAAUGCGUGGUGUAGCGGUGAAAUGCAUAGAUAUCACGCAGAACCCCGAUGGCGAAGGCAGCAUGCCGGCUUCCGACUGACGCUGAAGCACGAAAGCGUGGGGAUCGAACAGGAUUAGAUACCCCAGUAGUC
rnacentral:rRNA from 1 species